GCAAUCCACUAGCGCCAAUGUUGGUAGAGCACGUGGCUUUUAACCACGUGGUCGUGGGUUCGAGUCCCACGGAUGGCGC
rnacentral:tRNA from 1 species